rnacentral:RNase_P_RNA from 1 species
UUCGGGUAAUCGCUGCAAUUUUUUGAAAUUGUAGAGGAAAGUCCAUGCUCACACAGGCUGAGAUGCCAGUAGUGUUCGUGCCUGGCGAAGUCAUAAGCUAGGGCAACUUUAAAAGUUGACGGCAGGGAAAAUACCUAAGUCUUUUAAGAUAUGGUAUGAAUACCUUUAAAAGUGCCACAGUGACGAAGUCUUUUCAGAAAUGAGAAGAGUGGAACGAGGUAAACCCCGCGAGUGAGAAACCCAAAUUAUGGUAGGGGCACUUUCCUAAAGGAAAUGAACUGAUGGGAAGGACAGGCGUAUCGUCUGUAGAUAGAUGAUUACCACUAUGUACGAGGCAAUACAUUGCCGUUUGUAGUACGUAGAACAAAACAUGGCUUACAG